rnacentral:rRNA from 1 species
ACGAACGCUGGCGGCAGGCUUAACACAUGCAAGUCGAACGGAUCCUUCGGGAUUAGUGGCAGACGGGUGAGUAACGCGUGGGAACGUACCCUUUGCUACGGAAUAACUAAGGGAAACUUGAGCUAAUACCGUAUGUGCCCUACGGGGGAAAGAUUUAUCGGCAAAGGAUCGGCCCGCGUUGGAUUAGCUAGUUGGUGGGGUAAUGGCCUACCAAGGCGACGAUCCAUAGCUGGUCUGAGAGGAUGAUCAGCCACACUGGGACUGAGACACGGCCCAGACUCCUACGGGAGGCAGCAGUGGGGAAUAUUGGACAAUGGGCGCAAGCCUGAUCCAGCCAUGCCGCGUGAGUGAUGAAGGUCUUAGGAUUGUAAAGCUCUUUCACCGGUGAAGAUAAUGACGGUAGCCGGAGAAGAAGCCCCGGCUAACUUCGUG